CCAGACUCCUACGGGAGGCAGCAGUGGGGGAUAUUGCACAAUGGGGGAAACCCUGAUGCAGCGACGCCGCGUGAGUGAAGAAGUAAUUCGUUACGUAAAGCUCUAUCAGCAGGGAAGAAAAUGACGGUACCUGACUAAGAAGCCCCGGCUAACUACGUGCCAGCAGCCGCGGUAAUACGUAGGGGGCAAGCGUUAUCCGGAUUUACUGGGUGUAAAGGGAGCGUAGACGGCUGUGCAAGUCAGAAGUGAAAGCCCGGGGCGCAACCGCGGGACUGCUUUUGAAUCUGUGUAGCUGGAGUGCAGGAGAGGUAAGUGGAAUUCCUAGUGUAGCGGUGAAAUGCGUAGAUAUUAGGAGGAACACCGGUGGCGAAGGCGGCUUACUGGACUGUAACUGACGUUGAGGCUCGAAAGCGUGGGGAGCAAACAGGAUUAGAUACCCGUGUAA
rnacentral:rRNA from 1 species